CACCAUGGAACAGGUGAAGUAAAGUGGCAGAUGACAGAGUUGUGUGUAAUCAGUGAAGCUCCAAAAAGGAACUACUGAAAAAACACUGCCUUCAUUUUUCAUAUUACAGUGACUCUACCAUGAAGCUGAAUCUUUUUCUUCUGCUGUGUCUCACCGGUCUCACCCCAGUUGUCACAAUUGUCCAUCACAAUUAUCACCUGAUCAAGGAAUCAUAUUCAUGGCCAAUGGCUCAGAAAUACUGCAGGGUGAUGUACACUGACAUGGCAACGAUCGUAACUGAUGAUGAUUGGUUACGACUAAACAAAGAAGCGGUGAGCAAAGGCUACACUGGAUAUUCCUGGAUUGGAUUGUACGAUGAUGUCAAUAGCUGGCGCUGGUCCUUAAACGAGCUCCCACUGAAGAAUGUCACUUAUACAAACUGGUACACUGGACAGCCGGAUAAUAAUGCUGGAAACGAAGCGUGUGGUAUAAUUAAUAGUUUUGGAACCUGGGUAGAUUAUCCAUGUACACGUCUAAAACCCUUUAUAUGCUACAAUGGUGAGUCA